rnacentral:lncRNA from 1 species
AACUCAAUUUUUAUUUUUCGCUAUUUUUUUUUUUAAGCAAGCAUUCAUUUUCAUUCUUUCUAUUUUUGUUCUUUUCUUUCACAUCAAAUAUACAAAACAGAUGUUUCUUUUCUAUAUUUUCUAUACAUAUAUUUUUCUUAUGCUUGCUCGGUUUUUCUUUUCUUUUUCAAGAGUUGUGGAAUUUACCGAUUCUUUUUCGUUCUCCCCAACUUAUUUCUUCCACACCCUAAAUGAAUGCUCUUAACUUUUUACGGCAAAAGAACAAUAAGCAAGAUUUUC